CGCGGGAUGGAGCAGUCUGGUAGCUCGUCGGGCUCAUAACCCGAAGGUCCGUCGGAUUCAAAUCCGGACUCCCGCAACCA
rnacentral:tRNA from 1 species